UUCUGUGGCCAUGCCAUUCUGAUGUGCCUGAUCUUGUCUGAUCUCAGAAGGAAGCAGGGCUGGGGAUGGUUAGUACUUGGGUGUAAAAACAUGAGCAGGGAAAAGUCAUGGUGA
rnacentral:rRNA from 1 species